UGCUAAGGAGGAAAGUUCUUCAGUGAGUCUUAUAAAGCGGCACCAAAACGCGGUAUUUAUAGUGACAUAAUCAGCCCUAAUGGAGAUGGAAUUACCCCAUAAAGGCCCCAAGGAGCCCUCAGGGCCUCAGCGCCACUGCAGCAGACAAGGCUCCUGUACAGAAACAACGUGAGGCUCAGAGAGAAGAAAUGACUAAAAUUACACAGCUGGUACAUGGCAGAGGUGGAACUAAAAAGUUAAGUGUGUCUACCCCAGAGCCGAGUAGACCUGCUCUUUUUUGAACACUUCCUGGACUUUCAUGCCUUUGUCCCAGCUGUGCCCUCUCCCUGGAUGCCCCUUCCAUCUGGGCAGCUCCUACUAGACCUGCCUUGGCAUACAUAACACAGGAGAACGGAUUGCCAAAGGGUAGGAGAGUGCCUGGUCUAUAGUGUGCGCCCAACACAGAUUUGGUGAAUGAAUGAACACUGGGUCCAGCAGACCUGGAUUCUUCCAUGUAACCCACUGUGUGGCCUUGGUGGAGCCAUGCGGGUGCAAUAAUCCUGGU
ensembl:lncRNA novel transcript